UGGGGAACAGUCCCUGGAUUAUCUGGAGAUUCAUCACUUAGACUACAUCUCUGGACUCUCCUUGUUCUGAACUUACCGUCCUUUCCUGGUGAGGUGUGCUUCCUGUCCUGCUCUCCACCAUGGACCUCAAGGGCAAAGGGUCCCUCCUCCUGCUGGUCAUGUCAAGUCUGGUCCUGUGCCCAAAUGUGGCCUCUCAUCGGAUCUGUGAUGAUGAUUUGAGAUGCCAAGUAAACCUUCAUGAUCUGUAUAUUUCUGCAACCCAUUCGGCUCUGGCCAUGCAUUUCCAUGCUGCAACCUUAUUCCGGG